UAAGUUUUUAUAUUCUCACUCUAUCGUUUAUGAGUUGAUUAUUUUUUAAUAAAAGUAUAAAACUGAUGCCUUCAUAUUUUAUAACCAACCCGAACUACACCGAACCAAACUAGACCAUAAUAAUGUAAACCGAACUAAAUCUAAACCAAACCGAACUGAACCGAACCGAAUUAAACCCAAACCGAACCCAAACCAAAGCUACUUUGGUUUUAAUUGGUUUGAGUUUUAUAAAACCCAAAUUACCCAAACCAAACCGAACCCGAAACUAAACCGAAAUGCCCACCCCUAGUUCGCACAGCAUUUUCGUUAGGCUAUUAUUAAAAAUGACAGUUGUAUUUCAAAAACUAAAUUAUACUACGACCCAUAUUUGUAAAAUUUUAUUACUUAUCUGAUUUUGUUUUAUAAUGUUAUUAAAUAUUUGAUACAAACAAAAGUUUAUAAUAUUGUGAUAUUUUGUUGUUUCAAAAUGUAAAUCAUAUAAAUACUUUAUAAAUUUGAUUGAAUGAUUUUUUAUCAAUAAAUUGUUAUAUGUAUGUUCGGUUAGGUACCUAGAAUAUUUAUUUAUAUAUUAUAAGCUUGUUUUUUUUUUUUUUUGGUCGAAUAUUAUAAGCUUGUUUACGAUCAUCAAUUCUCAAAGUGUAAAACUUUGGUGCAAAAUAAUUCAUCUUUGCUUUAUUUCUGUAUUGUUAAAGAAAUGUUAUUUCUGUACUUCGAUAAUCUGCAGUGCAUUGUAAUUUUGUAAGCUAUAUUUUUGAAUUUUAGGAAAACAGAGGUUUGGAUGACAUCUAUUCCAUUAUAUUAUGUGGCAUUUAUAAAACUCUAAAAUUGAGGACAAGUAUAAACGAUAUUCCCUUCGUUUCGAUUUAAUUGUCGUUUUAAGAAAAAAUAUUUUAUUAUAGGUGUCGUUUUAGAGUUUCAAUGUAAAAUUUUAUUCACUUUAUUUUUUUAUUAGUUGGCAUAUGGUUAGGUGUAUAGGUAAUUGUGUUUUUAUUUUGAAAAUAUACAAAAUCUUAUGUUUUCUUAAUUUGUGUGCAUAACCUACAACGACAAAUAAAAUGAAAUGGGUGGAAUAUCAUGCUCUCUAUUUAAAAAU
rnacentral:lncRNA from 1 species